UACGUAGGGGGCAAGCGUUGUCCGGAUUUACUGGGCGUAAAGGGCGCGUAGGCGGCCUUCUAAGUCGAACGUGAAAUCCCCGGGCUCAACCCGGGAACUGCGUCCGGUACUGGAAGGCUUGAAUCCGGGAGAGGGAUGUGGAAUUCCAGGUGUAGCAGUGAAAUGCGUAGAGAUGUGGAGGAACACCGAUGGCGAAGGCAGCCCCCUGGGUCAAGAUUGACGCUCAUGCACGAAAGCGUGGGGAGCAAACAGG
rnacentral:rRNA from 1 species